AUUGAACGCUGGCGGCAGGCUUAACACAUGCAAGUCGAGCGGGGUGAUGGUGCUUGCACUAUCACUUAGCGGCGGACGGGUGAGUAAUGCUUAGGAAUCUGCCUAUUAGUGGGGGACAACAUCUCGAAAGGGAUGCUAAUACCGCAUACGUCCUACGGGAGAAAGCAGGGGAUCACUUGUGACCUUGCGCUAAUAGAUGAGCCUAAGUCGGAUUAGCUAGUUGGUGGGGUAAAGGCCUACCAAGGCGACGAUCUGUAGCGGGUCUGAGAGGAUGAUCCGCCACACUGGGACUGAGACACGGCCAAGACUCCUACGGGAGGCAGAAGUGGGGAAUAUUGGACAAUGGGGGGAACCCUGAUCCAGCCAUGCCGCGUGUGUGAAGAAGGCCUUAUGGUUGUAAAGCACUUUAAGCGAGGAGGAGGCUCUUUUGGUUAAUACCCAAGAUGAGUGGACGUUACUCGCAGAAUAAGCACCGGCUAACUCUGUGCCAGCAGCCGCCGUAA
rnacentral:rRNA from 1 species